CUGAAAGGCAUCUCCCCUUCCUUCACCCUGUGAACAAUUCACCUUAAAAUGGAUAUGUAAUUCUCUCCUCCUGUGCAACCUUCUCACGCCUCUUCUGACAUGCACACACACACGCGGUUCAUGACAUGGAUGUGCCAUGCUUGCUGAGGCUGCAUGGCAUUAAGAAAAUCUAACAUAGAGAAUUUUCUCUUUCCAGAUGCUCCAGUAGCUCCCUCCCUCUCUUUGAGCCCCCAGCAGUCUGACUACAGACUGGGAGAGUCAGUCAGUCUGGUGUGUUCUGCUCCACCUGAAAAGAGAGUUCAGGAAUUCAAGUACUUUAAUGAACUCAUGACCACCUCACUUCCGGUUUCUAACAGAAGCAAAUACAUGUUGAAUAUGAGCAUCCUGGAAGCAAAGCAUGUGGGACAUUUCAGGUGUGCCUAUGUGGUGCAGCUUUCUGGACGAGACAUAACUUCUAAGCAGAGCAAUGCUGUCUUUAUUGAUGGAACAGGUUUUCGAUGGGCACGAAUGUUGGCUGUUGGUGGGUCUUUCUUCAUCAUCAAUGGCCUGAUCUUCUUAAUCUUCCACUGCCUUUAAUUCUUAAGUUUCAAUUGCUUGGAUUUGGAUGCCUGCAUGGACUGCAAAGCAUGUGUGAUUGCAUAGACAACAUUGUAGAUGCUGUAGCUGUGGCUGGUCAUGUUCAUUUCAAAAAUGGAUGCAGGAAGAGACUCAAGCUUCUCUUGCCCAGCACAGGGUUUCUCAGACACCUUACGAAUUGCAGAGCUGGGGAGUGAGCAACUAAAUGAUUGCUUACAGAAAUCCUUGAUAAAGCCAACUUGAUUUCCUGAAGAAGGAUUUCUGGACUGAAGAAAUUUGUGCAAUCUCACCACCUUGCACCAAGGAGGAAACCAAUGUCCCAUGGCCUUUGGAAGGGAACAGAAGUGAAAUCAAUUUCAGCUGUCAUAAUUCAGAUAUUGGACUUCUUUGGUUCAUCCUCCACUUGUGAAAACUGGAGCAACAUUCACAAAAAUGACAUGGUCUGAAGUUCCCCAUAUAUGAUGAUUGCAUUAGCUAUGCUUUUCAUUACAACUGAAUAUGUUUUGAGUGCUUCAUCCAUCACAUCAACAAAGUCAGUAUACAAAUUCACUAUUGGAAAUCUUUCUAUGAAGUCAAAGCAGAUACUCUGAUGGGAAAAUGCACAUCAUGUAAAAACUUCUCUCCAAUGUCAUCUUUCACAGAAAGAACACCAACCCACGUCCACUUAAAGUGCAGCAGUAACUGGAGAAUGCCCUUCUGUUGAUGGGUUUACAUCCCUGGAUACAACUAGUUUAGCUACUGGGGCUUACCCACUGCUAGCCUCAGGAAUAGAUUAUUGCAAUAUGGUCUGGGAGAGGCCACUCCUGCACCUGGUUGAAAAGUUGUAGCUACUGCAGACUGCAGCAGGGGGUGCUCAGUAGAGCACCAAGCCUUGAAUACCUUAAACAAAAAGAACUGAACUGGCAGCAUCUGAACUGCACAGCCAUGCUCAAAACUACAUUGCGGCCUGUAGAAGAAUAACUUAAGACCAUCUUCUAUACCUACUGAUAUUUAAGGGGUUCAGCAGACACAUUCCUCAAUACCUCAAGACCAAAAGAUGCUGAGUGCAUCACAUUUGCAAAUUCUCAUUCACUGCACAUGUUUGGUUGCAUGCUCCCCAUUGUGGUUCCAGAGGCAGGAUAUUUAAUGUGCUUCAAAGUCUUAAAAAAAAUCCUGUCUGCACAUAUUUUCUGGCUGGUAGCUGGCCAUCAUAAGAUCAACCCACUUUGCUCUUUUCAUGGUGUUAGUUCUGUUUAUUUAGCACUGUUAUUGUAGCUGUAAUUCUUUAUUGACAAACUUUAAAAAGAGAGAAACAAGAGAGUGUAAAUUUUAAUUUACAAAUCCCCACAAGUUGUCUUUAAGAAUGCUAAAUGUAUAGUUCUGUGCAGUGAUAUGCUGGGCAUAUUCAAAAAUUAAUGAAAGGAAAUAAAGAGAAUGAUAAAGGA